GUUUGCACUCGGUGUGUGUUUGGUAUAGGUUUUGUUUGUUUCUUUCUGCAGGUCCGCUAACCCCAGCUUAUCUUUUGUUUCACAGGUUGUCAUUCACUGUGUCACGGGAAUUGUAAAUAAAUGGGCUUUCAUUUUAACUUACCACCUGUCCUCACCGUGCUUUUUUUUACUUUGUUAAACC